rnacentral:rRNA from 1 species
GGGCCCGCACAAGCGGUGGAGCAUGUGGUUUAAUUCGAUGAUACGCGAGGAACCUUACCAGGGCUUAAAUGCAGAAUGACAGAUUGGGAAACCAGUCCUUCUUCGGACAUUUUGCAAGGUGCUGCAUGGUUGUCGUCAGCUCGUGCCGUGAGGUGUCAGGUUAAGUCCUAUAACGAGCGCAACCCCUAUCAUUAGUUGCCAGCGGGUAAUGCCGGGAACUCUAAUGAGACUGCCAGCGCAAGCUGCGAGGAAGGUGGGGAUGACGUCAAAUCAUCACGGCCCUUACGUCCUGGCUACACACGUGCUACAAUGGUUGGGACAAUGGGCAGCCACUACGCAAGUAGGAG